rnacentral:rRNA from 1 species
AUUGAACGCUGGCGGCAUGCCUAACACAUGCAAGUCGAACGAGUGGCGGACGGGAGUGUAACGUCAGGGAAACUGCCCGAUGGAGGGGGAUAAAUACUGGAAACGGUAGCUAAUACCGCUUGCCAUCGGAUGUGCCCAGAGGUGAUUAGCUAGUAGGUGGGGUAACGGCUCACCUAGGCGACGAUCCCUAGCUGGUCUGAGAGGAUGACCGGCCACACUGGAACUGAGACACGGUCCAAACUCCUACGGGAGGCAGCAGUGGGGAAUAUUGCACAAUGGGCGCAAGCCUGAUGCAGCCAUGCCGCGUGUAUGAAGAAGGCCUUCGGGUUGUAAAGUACUUUCAGCGAGGAAGCGUUACUCGCAGAAGAAGCACCGGCUAACUCCGUGCCAGCCGCCGCGGUAAUUC